rfam:Beta vulgaris subsp. vulgaris Bvchr1_un.sca002.con0195.1, whole genome shotgun sequence.
GGUCCAAUACCAUGUCGUUUAUAGCACAAAAAGCCAUGAUUUUUGAUGCUAUUAUUGGUACGAUACCUACAUCAAACUUUUUCUUUAUCAAAUUUCGCAUGUUGAUAGCAAUCUGUUGAUCUUAUUUUUGAUGAUUAAAAGGUGCCGUUUUUGCGAUUGCAUAU